GCUCCUGUAGCUCAAUGGACAGAGCGCGGCCCUGCGGAGGCUGAAAUGUAGGUUCGAUUCCUACCAGGAGCA
rnacentral:tRNA from 10 species